rnacentral:rRNA from 1 species
UACAGAGGGUGCAAGCGUUGUUCGGAAUUAUUGGGCGUAAAGCGCGUGUAGGCGGCUUUGCAAGUCGGGUGUGAAAGCCCUCAGCUCAACUGAGGAAGUGCGCCCGAAACUGCAGAGCUUAAAUACCAAAAAAAAUAACAAAAUUCCCCAAAUAAAAAUAAAAUUCGUAGAUAUGGGGAGGAACACCGGUGGCGAAGGCGGCCACCUGGACGGUAACUGACGCUGAGACGCGAAAGCGUGGGGAGCAAACAGG